rnacentral:rRNA from 1 species
AACGAACGCUGGCGGCAGGCUUAACACAUGCAAGUCGAGCGCCCCGCAAGGGGAGCGGCAGACGGGUGAGUAACGCGUGGGAAUCUACUCAUCUCUACGGAAUAACGCAUGGACACGUGUGCUAAUACCGUAUACGUCCUUCGGGAGAAAGAUUUAUCGGAGAUGGAUGAGCCCGCGUUGGAUUAGCUAGUUGGUGGGGUAAAGGCCUACCAAGGCGACGAUCCAUAGCUGGUCUGAGAGGAUGAUCAGCCACACUGGGACUGAGACACGGCCCAGACUCCUACGGGAGGCAGCAGUGGGGAAUAUUGGACAAUGGGCGCAAGCCUGAUCCAGCCAUGCCGCGUGAGUGAUGAAGGCCCUAGGGUUGUAAAGCUCUUUCACCGGUGAAGAUAAUGACGGUAACCGGAGAAGAAGCCCCGGCUAACUUCGUGCCAGCCGCCGCGGUAAAAC